rnacentral:rRNA from 1 species
ACUGCUCAGUAACACGUAGCUAACCUACCCUUGGGAUGGGGAUACCCCCGGGAAACUGGGGACAAUCCCUGAUAGGCGUGGAUUCCUGGAAUGGUUCCACACCCAAAUGUUGUGCACCCAUGUUGUGCACAGACGCCCAAGGAUGGGGCUGCGGCCGAUCAGGCAGUUGGUGGGGUAACGGCCCACCAAACCUUUGACCGGUACGGGCCAUGAGAGUGGUAGCCCGGAGAUGGACACUGAGACAAGGGUCCAGGCCCUACGGGGCGCAGCAGGUGCGAAACCUCCACAAUUCACGCAAGUGAGAUGGGGUUACCUCGAGUGCCACCUGAAGAAGGUGGCUUUUCCAUUGUGUAAUAAGCCGUGGGAAUAAGGGGGGGGCAAGACUGGUGUCAGCCGCCGCGGUAACACCAGCCCCUCGAGUGGUGGGGACGUUUACUUGGCCUAAAGCGUCCGUAGCCGGCUCGGUAAAUCUUUCGUUAAAUCCAGCGUCUCAAGCGUUGGGCUGCGAGAGACACUGCCGGGCUAGAGGGUGGGAAAGGUCAGCGGUAUUCCUGGGGUAGGGGCGAAAUCCAUUGAUCCCAGGAGGACCACCAGUGGCGAAGGCUGCUGACUAGAACACGCCUGACGGUGAGGGACGAAAGCUGGGGUAGCGAAUCGGAUUAGAUACCCGAGUAGUCCCAGCCGUAAACGAUGCAGGCUAGGUGUUGGGCCGGCCAUGUGCCGGCUCAGUGCCACAGGGAAGCCAUUAAGCCCUGCCGCCUGGGGGAGUACGGCCGCAAGGGCUGAAACUUUAAAGGAAUUGGCGGGGGGAGCACCCACCAGGG